rnacentral:rRNA from 1 species
GAUGAACGCUAGCGGGAGGCCUAACACAUGCAAGCCGAGCGGUAUUGUUUCGUCGGAAUUGAGAGAGCGGCUUACGGGCGCGUAACACGUGUGCAACCUGCCUUUAUUUGGGGGAUAGCCUUUCGAAAGGAAGAUUAAUACUUCCUAAUAUAUUGAACGGCCUCGUUUAAUAUUGAAAGCUCCGGCGGAUAGAGAUGGGCACGCGCAGGAUUAGCUAGUUGGUGAGGUAACGGCUCACCAAGGCGAUGAUCUUUAGGGGGCCUGAGAGGGUGAUCCCCCAGACUGGUACUGAGAAAAGGGCCAGAGACCUACGGGAGGCAGCCGUGAGGGAUAUUGGUCAAUGGGUGCAAGCCUGAACCAGCCAUCCCGCGUGAAGGAAGACUGCCCGAUGGAUUGUAAACUUCUUUUGGAUAGGGAUAAACCUACCCUCGUGAGGGUAACUGAAGGUACUAGACAAAUAAGCACCGGCUAACUCCGUG